AUGAACCUGGUGGCUUCCUUUUCUGGGAGGAAGUUAGGGUUCA
ensembl:miRNA MIR4456 microRNA 4456